GAACUCGAGGAAAGCAGAGGAGGAAGCUACAAGAGCUGUUGCUGCUGCUGAGAAGAGGAAAAAGGAAGAAAAGGGUACAGUUCACAUUGCUUCAAAGAGUAGAAAUCAUGUUUCUCGUAAGUGGGUUCCUAGUGUAAAGAUGCAUCCAGGUAUGCCGCUCUGCAAUCCUGGUGUGGCAUUUAAAAAAAAAACUUCUAUAGAUAAUUAGAGAUGUACUGGAUGUAAAAUGCUUAUUAAUAUUCCCCCAUUGUAUAUAACACUUCAUGUGCAUUUUUGGAUCACGUAAACAGGUGAACGAAUAUUUCGUAUUGGUUCAGAUCGAUACAAAAUGGAUCCAACAAGGAGGACUCUUCAGAGGAUCACAGAUAAUGAAUCAUCAUCAUCAUCAUCAGCAACUCCUCAGUCAAAAAAGAAUGUUGAGAGAUCUUAUAUCCCCAGG